GCUUAACACAUGCAAGUCGAGGGGCAUCAGGAAGAAAGCUUGCUUUCUUUGCUGGCGACCGGCGCACGGGUGAGUAACACGUAUCCAACCUGCCCUUUACUCGGGGAUAGCCUUUCGAAAGAAAGAUUAAUACCCGAUAGCAUAAUGAUUCCGCAUGGUUUCAUUAUUAAAGGAUUCCGGUAAAGGAUGGGGAUGCGUUCCAUUAGGUUGUUGGUGAGGUAACGGCCCACCAAGCCUUCGAUGGAUAGGGGUUCUGAGAGGAAGGUCCCCCACAUUGGAACUGAGACACGGUCCAAACUCCUACGGGAGGCAGCAGUGAGGAAUAUUGGUCAAUGGGCGCUAGCCUGAACCAGCCAAGUAGCGUGAAGGAUGAAGGCUCUAUGGGUCGUAAACUUCUUUUAUAUAAGAAUAAAGUGCAGUAUGUAUACUGUUUUGUAUGUAUUAUAUGAAUAAGGAUCGGCUAACUCCGUGCCAGCAGCCGCGGUAAUACGGAGGAUCCGAGCGUUAUCCGGAUUUAUUGGGUUUAAAGGGAGCGUAGGUGGACUGGUAAGUCAGUUGUGAAAGUUUGCGGCUCAACCGUAAAAUUGCAGUUGAUACUGUCAGUCUUGAGUACAGUAGAGGUGGGCGGAAUUCGUGGUGUAGCGGUGAAAUGCUUAGAUAUCACGAAGAACUCCGAUUGCGAAGGCAGCUCACUGGACUGCAACUGACACUGAUGCUCGAAAGUGUGGGUAUCAAACAGGAUUAGAUACCCUGGUAGUCCACACAGUAAACGAUGAAUACUCGCUGUUUGCGAUAUACAGUAAGCGGCCAAGCGAAAGCAUUAAGUAUUCCACCUGGGGAGUACGCCGGCAACGGUGAAACUCAAAGGAAUUGACGGGGGCCCGCACAAGCGGAGGAACAUGUGGUUUAAUUCGAUGAUACGCGAGGAACCUUACCCGGGCUUAAAUUGCAGUGGAAUGAUGUGGAAACAUGUCAGUGAGCAAUCGCCGCUGUGAAGGUGCUGCAUGGUUGUCGUCAGCUCGUGCCGUGAGGUGUCGGCUUAAGUGCCAUAACGAGCGCAACCCUUAUCUUUAGUUACUAACAGGUUAUGCUGAGGACUCUAGAGAGACUGCCGUCGUAAGAUGUGAGGAAGGUGGGGAUGACGUCAAAUCAGCACGGCCCUUACGUCCGGGGCUACACACGUGUUACAAUGGGGGGUACAGAAGGCAGCUAGCGGGUGACCGUAUGCUAAUCCCAAAAUCCUCUCUCAGUUCGGAUCGAAGUCUGCAACCCGACUUCGUGAAGCUGGAUUCGCUAGUAAUCGCGCAUCAGCCACGGCGCGGUGAAUACGUUCCCGGGCCUUGUACACACCGCCCGUCAAGCCAUGGGAGCCGGGGGUACCUGAAGUACGUAACCGCAAGGAUCGUCCUAGGGUAAAACUGGUGACUGGGGCUAAGUCAUAAC
rnacentral:rRNA from 1 species